GGCUCGGUAGUUCAGUGGUAGAACGCGGCUCUCAUGAGGCCGAGGCCGGGAGUUCAAUCCUCCCCCGAGCCA
rnacentral:tRNA from 1 species